UGGGAUGUGGUUUUGUGACAGAGCAUGUGCUUAGCAUGCACAAAGCCUUGGGUUCAAACCCCAGUAUCAAAG
rnacentral:tRNA from 1 species